rnacentral:misc_RNA from 1 species
GAUGAAGAACGCAGCGAAAUGCGAUAAGUAAUGUGAAUUGCAGAAUUCAGUGAAUCAUCGAAUCUUUGAACGCACAUUGCGCCCGCCAGUAUUCUGGCGGGCAUGCCUGUCCGAGCGUCAUUGCUGCCCUCAAGCACGGCUUGUGUGUUGGGCCCCGUCCUCCGAUCCCGGGGGACGGGCCCGAAAGGCAGCGGCGGCACCGCGUCCGGUCCUCGAGCGUAUGGGGCUUUGUCACCCGCUCUGUAGGCCCGGCCGGCGCUUGCCGAUCAACCCAAAUUUUUUAUCCAGGUUGACCUCGGAUCAGGUAGGGAUACCCGCUGAACUUAAGCAUAUCAAUAAGCGGAGGA